ensembl:lncRNA
GAAGUCUUGAGCCAAUAAAAUAGGAAGCAUUACUAUUGGAACAGCUCUUGUAUCAAUUAUUCUCCCCCUUUUUUAGGCAAGUGAAGAACUCCAGUGAGGUCCUACAAGUGUGAAGAGAGAAAAUGGCUUCAGCCUGUCAUUAAAGGCAGAAGUUUAUUUUAAAGGUCACAUUUGAAACGUGGUUUCAUCGCAAGAAGAUACUGGCAAGACAAGCCAAAUGAUGGUUUGUGCAUUCGCUAGAGAAACCCAUUUUCUCGUAGCAGCGUAAACUCCCCUCUUCCUGUGGUGAUACUCACGAUGUGCAGAGGUGUCUGCUGCCUCUGUCAGCUACUGCAGUGGGGAAGACCAUAUACUUGUAGACUUACUAUGUUGAUUGUCUUUUACGAUCAACAUAAUUGAUUGUAUCAGAGGUUUGAGUUAUGUGGUCUCUCUCGUAUUUCCCAGAUUUCCAUUCAUUUUAAUGGCAGAGAUGGAUGAAACUGAAAUGUCCUUGACUCUGAACAGCUCUGCUCAGCAACAACUGAAACACUGGUGUGUUAUCAGCAUUCUUUUUCUCCUAUAGCCAAAACAAAGCACCGUACCAGACACCGAAGAAAAUUAACUCUGUCCCAGAUGAAAUCAUGACACCUCCCCAGUAUUCAUUCAUCUACUAUUCAGUCCAGUCUUUUCACAGCUUACUUGAAGGCAUGAAAAUAUUUUCAGUCAUUUUCUUUAGUUACAGAAAUAUCUCAUGUAGCUCCAAGUUUGUUUCAGGCAUAGUAGAUGCUGUUGUGGUUAACAGAAAGAUACUAUAAGUGGAGGUGGUGAAAAGCUGUCUGAGUGCUGGACUUCUGUACUGCUAGACCAUGCAGCCACUGUGGGAUUGAUAGAGUGAAUAUUUCAGAAGUUGGGUUAGAUUUGAAUUUGAUGUAUUUUGAAUUUGCAUGUUUUACAGUUUUUUUCUGAUACUUCCUGAACAGCUGCCACCACCAGAGAAUAUUUCUGCUGUUUUAAGAACUGCAUGUUGUCAGGGGUAGACUUUUGUGUGACCAAAUGUCAGUCAUCCUUACCCCCUUUUCUGGAAUAAAAAUCUUCCAGAACAUAAAAACUGAACCAUGAAGAUGAAGCGAAUACAAAUCUGGCUAAAUCUCUUGGUCCACUGUUGAAUUUUCUUUUUGCUAAUAUAGGUUGCAAUGUACUUAUUUCAGGCAUUUAAUUCAGCCUCAUACUUAAUGUUUUCAAGCCCGUUUCCUGAUGACCUCAAACACUUAACCUUUCCUACCGAAUUAAAAUCCUGGAAGCAAUCAUGAAGGUGGAAUGGAAGCAAAGCCACCUGGUAAUAAAACCUAACUUAGUGAAGGUGCCUUAAAUGUUCAAGGAUUUGAAAGCAGAAGUUUAUAGUUUCCUUAUGUUAAAACUCCGAAAACUGCCUAUCUGAAACAUGAGUCACAUGAAAGAGGGGAAACAUCUACAGAAAUUCUUAAAGUAAUCUCAAAAAAUAAUCUUUAGGAGCAUGGAGAGAGCCUGCAGGAAGGAGGUUAAAGACUGAUUUGGAAGUGGGACAGCAGGCCAAAGGCCAGGAGAGUAAGAGCAAUGAAUGGGAGCGACAUGGCCUAAUGCAGAAGCAACAUUUUGGUUUUAAGUCAGGAAGCCCAUCAAGUUAAGUCUAUUAGAAUUGUGAAGAAACAUUUUCAGAUGCAUAUACUUUUGCUUAGUUUGUUAGAACAAGAAAUUACAGCAUUUUAACCCAAGAACUAUUCUUUGAAAGUCUCCUAACAUAUAAAAUGUCUAACUUUAAGAUGACACUUAAAGAAUUAUUAAAAGAAUAUAUGAUGUGACUACCUGGGACUGCAGACAGAGCAGAGGACUCGACUUGAUGAAUGAGGACAUCUAUUCCAGCUUCAUAUUCCCACGGGAAAUCUACACUGAAACAAAUCUACUGUUUUGAAAUUACACAGUUCAGGCUACAAGGCUGAAAUCCUCCCUGUAGAAGUAGUGAUUCGGGAAGGUAAAAGAAGCAGCAAAGUCAACUCUGCAGAACAAUACUGUGUGCACCUUCAAGAUGCAUAGCCAGCCUGCCAUUACCUCUGAUCUUCACUGGUCUCUGGAAAAACUGUAUGAGUGAACUAACUGCCAACAUAUCCUUGUAACUGGAGAUCACAGCAAUUGUUUACCCUACUAAUACAGUAAUAUACAUAGAGUCAAUGUCAAAAUGCAGAUUUCUGGCUAAUCUGUGAUAUGUGGGUGACAACAAAAUGUUCCUCUGUUUUUCCCUUAUUCUUUUCAUAUAAACCAAGAAGGGAAGAUUAAUGUGAUUAUGCUGCUGAAAGAAUAAUAAUUAGAGAAGCAACAAAGAUCUGGUUGCUGACAUUUGUGACACAAAUUAAAAGAAAAUCCGAAUGGUUUGUUUUACUUCUCUUUCCUUAAAGAAACAGUUCAGGCAGACCUGGCAAACUAGAGGGACUGCACUUUAAAAAGCAUUUUUGCACAGGUUAGUAGAAAAACAAAAUACAUUUUAAAAUCAUGUCAGCUUGGAAACAGAGAUUUGAAAAAGGGGAACCAGACAACUCAGAGAAUAAGUAUAAUGAAUAUCUGUUUGAAUAUAAAGCAAAAUAACAUAUCCCAAUUUUCUUUUUUUAAUGUUUAUUUUUUCCUACAGAUUUAGAUUCAGAGUUUACAGAUUUUUAACAAAGUACAGGUUUUAAAAGAGAAAAAUAUGAAAGAAAAUACCCAUAGAGGAAAUAUAUCAAAAUUCAGCUGGUUACCUUAUCGGUUUAGGUUUCAGCUGGUGUGUCUCUGGGGGUACGGUGUAUCAUCCAAAAACUGUAAAUCUUAUGGAUUGGUGCAACUGGCAUUUCCACGUGUCCUUCUUUCAUCCCACUUAAAUCUUUGCAAAGGUUGCAUAAAUAAAACAAG